rnacentral:rRNA from 1 species
GACGGAGGAGGCUAGCGUUGUUCGGAAUUACUGGGCGUAAAGCGCGCGCAGGCGGCUUAGCAAGUCAGGGGUGAAAGCCCGGGGCUCAACCUCGGAACUGCCUUUAAGACUGCAUCGCUAGAAUCGUGGAGAGGUGAGUGGAAUUCCGAGUGUAGAGGUGAAAUUCGUAGAUAUUCGGAAGAACACCAGUGGCGAAGGCGACUCACUGGACACGUAUUGACGCUGAGGUGCGAAAGCGUGGGGAGCAAACAGG